rnacentral:rRNA from 1 species
UCCUACGGGACGCAGCAGUGAGGAAUAUUGGUCAAUGGACGCAAGUCUGAACCAGCCAUGCCGCGUGCAAGAUGACGGCUCUAUGAGUUGUAAACUGCUUUUGUACGAGGGUAAACCCCGAUACGUGUAUCGGGUUGAAAGUAUCGUACGAAUAAGGAUCGGCUAAUUCCGUGCCAGCAGCCGCGGUAAUACGGAAGGUCCGGGCGUUAUCCGGAUUUAUUGGGUUUAAAGGGAGCGUAGGCGGGCCGUUAAGUCAGUUGUGAAAGUUCGGGGCUCAACCCCGGAAUUGCAGUUGAAACUGCCGG